rnacentral:rRNA from 1 species
UGCGCGUCAGUUCGUACUGUGAAGCAUCCUGUUAAGUCAGGCAACGAGCGAGACCCACGCCAACAGUUGCCAGCUCGUCCUCCCGGGGAUGGUGGGGGACGACUGUUGGGACCGCCUCUGCUAAAGAGGAGGAAGGAAUGGGCAACGGUAGGUCAGCAUGCCCCGAAUUAUCUGGGCUACACGCGGGCUACAAUGGGUGGGACAAUGGGUAUCGACACCGAAAGGUGAAGGCAAUCUCCUAAACCCAUCCGUAGUUCGGAUUGUGGGCUGCAACUCGCCCACAUGAAGCUGGAAUCUGUAGUAAUCGUGUCUCAAAAUGGCACGGUGAAUAUGUCCCUGCUCCUU